rnacentral:rRNA from 1 species
GAUGAACGCUGGCGGCGUGCCUAAUACAUGCAAGUCGAGCGGACAGACGAGGAGCUUGCUCCUCUAACGUUAGCGGCGGGCGGGUGAGUAACACGUGGAUAACCUACCUAUAAGACUGGGAUAACUUCGGGAAACCGGAGCUAAUACUGCAUAAUAUAUUGAACCGCAGGGUGCAGUAGUGAAAGACGGUUUUGCUGUCACUUAUAGAUGGAUCCGCGCUGCAUUAGCUAGUUGGUAAGGUAACGGCUUACCAAGGCAACGAUGCGUAGCCGACCUGAGAGGGUGAUCGGCCACACUGGAACUGAGACACGGUCCAGACUCCUACGGGAGGCAGCAGUAGGGAAUCUUCCGCAAUGGGCGGAAGCUUGACGGAGCAACGCCGCGUGAGUGAUGAAGGUCUUCGGAUCGUAAAACUCUGUUAUUGGGGAAGAACAACUGUGUAAGUAACUAUGCACGUCUUGACGGUACCUAAUCAGAAAGCCACGGCUAACUACGUG